CUUUUGAAUAGAACUGUUAAUAGUUUUUGGCAGUGUACAAACAGCAGAAUAGUUCAGUGUACAAAUUGCCAAAAUAAGAAAAAGAUGAUGAUUCAUACCAGGCUUUUAGAGUGACACUUGAUCCAGAAGAUGCUGUGAGCUGAGAUGAUGUCAGUGCACAAUGAGGCUGUGUCAUGAUCCUGCCGCUCCAGCACGAGCUGUGCGGGUGCCCGCGCGGGUGCACUGAUUGGGAGGUGCACACCUCCGCCUCAUGCAGCCUGAUUAUGCUGUGGAUUUAUAUGACCCCGAUGACAACUGGCCGGCGCCAGUUCGUUGAUCUUCAUGUCCCGUUCGUGUGCUCCGGUAUCCCUGAUCGAACCUGUGUGUACCGACCUUCGCCCGUUCUCCGACCACCCUUGUAGGCCUGACUCCUUCGUUACUUCUGCCUGCUUUGAUUGUUCCCCUGUGUACUGACUCCUGCCUGCCCGCUCACCUGCUCUCUUCGCCCGACGUCCCAACUACCGCUGCUGCACCGGACUGCCUGCUCGAUCCCCGACCUCGGCAUAUAAAAAACGUUUCUCCUUGAACUACCUGGCAUCGUCUGAGUCCUGCAUUUGGGUCCUACUCUCGUUCCGAUGGGACGUGACAGAACGAACUGGCCACAACACGACCCAGCAGGAAAGACCCGGCGUCGCCGGGACCAACGCAAGUUAGACCGUCUGCCGGAGGACCAAGCCAGUCCAAUCCGGACUCCUGCCUAUCCGCUCACCUGCUCUCUUCGCCCGACGUCCUAACUACUGCUGCUGCACCGGACUGCCUGCUCGAUCCCCGACCUCGGCAUAUAAUAAACGUUUCUCCUUGAAUUACCUGGCAUCGUCCGAGUCCUGCAUUUGGGUCCUACUCUCGUUCUGAUGGGACGUGACAGGCUGAGCGGCAAGUUGCCAGCAGUUGGUUAUGGUCAGGCGAGGUCGUGAGCGUGGACUUUGAUCUUAUAAUGGUAAUUUCUCCCAUGGAUAACUUUGUAAAGCAAUUUGGUCUUCCCAAACAGUAUUGACAUGUUCUCAAUUCUUGUGCAAAUGGUGUCCCUGCAGUGAAGCAAUAUGAUAUGAUCUCAUCCAAUUAGUUAUUAUUUAUAAAAACAUUUUUAUUUUCCUUUCGGCUUGUUCCAUUUGGGAUCGCCACAGCGUGUCAUCUUUUUCCAUCUAAGCCUAUCUCGUGCAUCUACCUCUCUAACACCCACUGUCCUCAUGUCCUACAUCACAACAACCAUCAACCUUUUCUUUGGUCUUCCUCUCGCUCUUUUGCCUGGCAGCUCCAUCCUCAGCACCCUUCUACCAAUAUACUCACUCUCGGGGAUCUGAACAUGUCCAAACCAUCCAAGUUUUCUUUCUCUAACCUUGUCUCCAAAACAUUCAACCUUGGUUGUCCCUCUAAUGAGCUCAUUUCUAAUCCUAACCAACCUGCUCACUACGAGCGAGAACUUCAACAUCUUCAUUUCUGCUACCUCAAGUUCUGCUUCCUGUUUUUUUCUUCAGAGCCACCGUCUCUAAUCCGUACAUAAUGGCCGGCCUUAACACUGUUUUAUAAACUUUGCCCUUCAUCCUAGCAGAGACUCUUCUGUCACAUAGAACACCAGACAUCUUCUGCCAACUGUUCCACCCCACUUGGACCCGUUUCUUCACUUUUUUAUCACACUCUCCCUUGCUCUGUAUUGUUGACCCCAAGUAUUUGAAGUCAUCCACCCUCACUCACUCUUCUCCCUGGAGCUUCACUCUUCCUUCUCUGCCCCUCACAUUCAUGCAGAUAUAUUCUGUUUCAUUUUGGCUAAUCUUCAUUCCUCUCCUUUCCAGUGCAUCAUUAUUUAUAUAAAUAAAAAUGUGAAAAAUAAAAGGCAAUUAGCUAAGUUUUAACACAUUCAUCCAUUUAUC